rnacentral:ribozyme from 1 species
GGCCUCCCUAUCUCUACCUCCGCGUGGUACCGGCUGGAAACUACGAGUAACCUUAGGGAAGAACGGGUAAUCAACCCCGAUGGGAACUUUGGUCGUAGACUGACAGGGAAGG